UACGUAGGCAGCAAGCGUUGUUCGGAGUUACUGGGCGUAAAGGGUGUGUAGGCGGUUCUUUUAAGUUUGCUGUGAAAUCUCCCGGCUUAACCGGGAGGGUGCGGUGAAUACUGAGGGACUAGAGUACGGGAUGAGGAAAGUGGAAUUCCUGGUGUAGCGGUGAAAUGCGCAGAUAUCGGGAAGAACACCCGUGGCGAAGGCGGCUCUCUGGGACGGUACUGACGCUGAGACGCGAAAGCGUGGGGAGCGAACAGG
rnacentral:rRNA from 1 species